GGAGCUUGUUAAAAAUGCAAAUUCUCAGGCCCUGGCCCAGACCUACUGAAUCAGACUCUCUGGGAUUGGACCCCAGGAAUCUGCAUUUUAACAC
rnacentral:miRNA from 1 species